GUGUGUAGCUUAGUGGUAGAGUGUCUGCCUGCCAUGCCUAAGGCCCUGAGUUCAAAUCCUAGCACUCACA
rnacentral:tRNA from 1 species